UUAUGGUGGGCACUCUAAGGAGACUGCCGGUGACAAACCGGAGGAAGGUGGGGAUGACGUCAAGUCAUCCAUGGCCCUUACGGCCUGGGCUACACACGUGCUACAAUGGUCGGUACAAAGGGUUGCCAAGCCGCGAGGUGGAGCUAAUCCCAUAAAACCGAUCGUAGUCCGGAUCGCAGUCUGCAACUCGACUGCGUGAAGUCGGAAUCGCUAGUAAUCGUGAAUCAGAAUGUCACGGUGAAUACGUUCCCGGGCCUU
rnacentral:rRNA from 1 species